GGGAGGGUAGUUCAGACGGCAGAACCCCGGAAGAUGAACGCUCCGGUAUAGCGCAGGUUCGACUCCUGCCCCUCCCA
rnacentral:tRNA from 1 species